rnacentral:lncRNA from 1 species
CGAUGCGCCGGCCUCUGACCGGCAGAACCUCUUCCUCCGGAAGCUCCACGUCUGCUGCUACGUCCUUGACUUCUCCGACACGCUGAAGAACGUUAGAGAGAAGGAAAUCAAGCGCCAAGCGCUGAUGGACCUCGUCGACUUCAUCCAAUCUGGCUCCGGCAAGAUGUCGGAGAAUUGCCAGGAGGAGAUGAUCAGAAUGAUCUCCGUCAAUAUUUUCCGGUGCCUCCCUCCGGCGUCUCACGAGAACACCGGCCAGGAACCCACCGAUCCUGAAGAGGAGGAACCAAGCUUGGAUCCGACCUGGCCUCACCUUCAGCUCGUCUACGAGCUUCUCCUCAGAUACGUGGUUUCCUCCGAUACGGAUACGAAAAUCGCAAAACGAU